GUGACUGGUGAGGUUCAUAGUUUUCUGUUUCUGAUUUUCUUUUAUUUGGGUUUUGUUCAUAUUUUGUUAAUUUGUUCGGAUCUGAUCUUUGUAUAUAUUAGGUUGAUUAGAAAAAGUGAGGAAGAAUGGAAGAUAAACAAAUAUUUUAUUUUUUA